AGUCCAGCUGUGUACAAUGAUUUUGUACUUGCAGAAUUCCCAUCUACCCAGUUAUUCCCAGCUGUCCGUGCUAAAUCGCUUUUUCCAGAUGGUUUUUCCAGUUCGUCAAGAUCACUGGGUUUCUGACCUUGCUGUCGGUGUUUGUGCAGCCCCUCCCAGGCUGCUGUAAUCUGCGAAGGUCUGUCUUGUCCCUGCAUGCUCAAGCUGUUUGUAAUAAGCUUCGUUUAAUGCUACUGAACCCCACUACGGCAGGCACGGACGUCAAGUUGCAGAGGGUGGGGGCACUCUAUAAGUUAGCACAGAGAACAUCGAGGGCUCAUUGCUAAAAAGUUUGAGACCUCAGGAGUUGGCUGACCAGGUAAUGAACAUGGACUUAAUCCCACAGUGGGGUUUCUUUUUCUUCAUUUUUUCUUCCUUGGAUUUUUUUUUCCAGUUUGAGUUACAUUCGUGAGGCAAAGUUUAUGGAUAAAGUGAGUUUGUUGAGCUUCCCUGUGGGGAGGACAACAGCUGUGAGCCCGUGUAGGUGCUUGUAUUUGUGUGUGACUCCCGUAGGAGCUCUGUGAUAAAAGGGAGGAAGUCAUGUAGCUCUCACCAUUUGUCACUACUACUUAGGCCAGACGUUUUGCCUACUGAUCCAGGGCCUUUUGCAUGCAGUAAAGAUACAGUUUUGCAGAAGAGAGCUUACUGAUACUCAUACAAACCCAUAUGGCUCUUUUCACUCACGCAGUUUUUCUAGGCAGCUCAGCAGCUGUGUCUGGUCCUGCACCCGCCCCGCUGAUGUGUGACGCCUCUGGCUCACGGCGUGACUCAGGCGUUGGUGGGAGCUCUUGUGCCCUUCAGGCUCCGUGGACCCGGCUCGGCUGUGGCCGUCUUCCUUUCAUUCUGCUGAGGCAGAGCCAAGCACGGAUCCCUGGCGAGCUGGGGUCCCACCUGUGUUCUCAGGCCUGUGCUGGUGCUAUUAUAGCUUUCCAAGACAUGAUGGAACGAGUUUGUUUGCUUCUGGCCUCUCCUGGAGAAAGCAUGGGACACUUUGCAUCUGCAUGCAGUCAGAGAUAUGGAGAGCAGGGCUCCAGCAAGCGCUAA
rnacentral:lncRNA from 1 species